AGAGUUUGAUCAUGGCUCAGAUUGAACGCUGGCGGCAGGCCUAACACAUGCAAGUCGAACGGUAACAGGAAGCAGCUUGCUGCUUCGCUGACGAGUGGCGGACGGGGGAGUAAUGUCUGGGAAACUGCCUGAUGGAGGGGGAUAACUACUGGAAACGGUAGCUAAUACCGCAUAACGUCGCAAGACCAAAGAGGGGGACCUUCGGGCCUCUUGCCAUCGGAUGUGCCCAGAUGGGAUUAGCUAGUAGGUGGGGUAACGGCUCACCUAGGCGACGAUCCCUAGCUGGUCUGAGAGGAUGACCAGCCACACUGGAACUGAGACACGGUCCAGACUCCUACGGGAGGCAGCAGUGGGGAAUAUUGCACAAUGGGCGCAAGCCUGAUGCAGCCAUGCCGCGUGUAUGAAGAAGGCCUUCGGGUUGUAAAGUACUUUCAGCGGGGAGGAAGGGAGUAAAGUUAAUACCUUUGCUCAUUGACGUUACCCGCAGAAGAAGCACCGGCUAACUCCGUGCCAGCAGCCGCGGUAAUACGGAGGGUGCAAGCGUUAAUCGGAAUUACUGGGCGUAAAGCGCACGCAGGCGGUUUGUUAAGUCAGAUGUGAAAUCCCCGGGCUCAACCUGGGAACUGCAUCUGAUACUGGCAAGCUUGAGUCUCGUAGAGGGGGGUAGAAUUCCAGGUGUAGCGGUGAAAUGCGUAGAGAUCUGGAGGAAUACCGGUGGCGAAGGCGGCCCCCUGGACGAAGACUGACGCUCAGGUGCGAAAGCGUGGGGAGCAAACAGGAUUAGAUACCCUGGUAGUCCACGCCGUAAACGAUGUCGACUUGGAGGUUGUGCCCUUGAGGCGUGGCUUCCGGAGCUAACGCGUUAAGUCGACCGCCUGGGGAGUACGGCCGCAAGGUUAAAACUCAAAUGAAUUGACGGGGGCCCGCACAAGCGGUGGAGCAUGUGGUUUAAUUCGAUGCAACGCGAAGAACCUUACCUGGUCUUGACAUCCACGGAAGUUUUCAGAGAUGAGAAUGUGCCUUCGGGAACCGUGAGACAGGUGCUGCAUGGCUGUCGUCAGCUCGUGUUGUGAAAUGUUGGGUUAAGUCCCGCAACGAGCGCAACCCUUAUCCUUUGUUGCCAGCGGUCCGGCCGGGAACUCAAAGGAGACUGCCAGUGAUAAACUGGAGGAAGGUGGGGAUGACGUCAAGUCAUCAUGGCCCUUACGACCAGGGCUACACACGUGCUACAAUGGCGCAUACAAAGAGAAGCGACCUCGCGAGAGCAAGCGGACCUCAUAAAGUGCGUCGUAGUCCGGAUUGGAGUCUGCAACUCGACUCCAUGAAGUCGGAAUCGCUAGUAAUCGUGGAUCAGAAUGCCACGGUGAAUACGUUCCCGGGCCUUGUACACACCGCCCGUCACACCAUGGGAGUGGGUUGCAAAAGAAGUAGGUAGCUUAACCUUCGGGAGGGCGCUUACCACUUUGUGAUUCAUGACUGGGGUGAAGUCGUAACAAGGUAACCGUAGGGGAACCUGCGGUUGGAUCACCU
rnacentral:rRNA from 2 species